ACCAACUAUCUAAAAGCUUUAAAAUAAAGUUGAAAAAUAGUGAUACAAGGACUCUCAAAAUAUUGAAUAUAUUUUAGUAAAAAAAUCUAGAAGUGUUGUGCUGUCAAUUGCGGUGUAUUGGCACGAUUCGGAUAUGACCAAUCAUUCAGGUUUUACAUCCAUGCUUCUUGGGCUUUAUUGUGAGAAAUCACUAGUUGAAGUUAGCUGUAGUUAAUUAAAUUUUGUUCUUUUAAUCUAGGCAUUGAUAGGGAAGAAAGGAGCAUCCAUCUGGAUUCCAAUGAGAUUCAAAGUCAGCAAAUCCUUAGUGGAAAUACUUUCAAUGUCAACUGCUGCGCCGGUUCAGGUGAUCGAGGGGAUAUGCCUUUUCAAGACCUGGGUUAUUGUGGAUAGUAGCACUCAUGUCGUUGAAGUUUAUCCCAAUUCCACUCAUGUCGUUGAAGUUUAUGAUAGCACUGUACACAAUUAAUACAUGGGUGAAGACGGUGAUUGAGAAUGUAUCAUCACUUAUUGGAAGGAUCAAAUAAAAUGCUCGGCUUUCGGCUUCCAAUUAUAUGCAUUUAUGUGAAGCUGUUCGAAAUGGUAAAUUGAGCUUGGAUUUUGUAUGGAUGAACAUAGCUUGGAAUGAUGAGAAUGAUGUUGGAACUUGUAGAAUAGGUGGGAUUGGUUUAGUUGUUUAGGGAUGAUUUUCUUAUUGUUAUAAUGUAAUGUGAAUUGGUUUAGUUGUUUUGUUCAUGUUAGAAAUAUGUGAAUCGGUGUAUAUAUAUUUUGGAUUAAUUACAAUGGUAUAUAAUGUAAUGGUAUAAUUUAUAAUG